AGGCAUUUGAACCUGCCGGCAACGAACACGGAGAUCCAUGUCGGAGGAGGAUCGCGGUGGUUACAUCGACCAAAAUCACAAUAAUCCGAUGCAGGAUACCAUCCCUGAUCACACUGCUGUUCAAGAUGAUAUCCCAGGAUUUAUAUCUCUAUCUCUCUAUAUCCCAUCUCUCUUUAUCUAUCUCUUCCUGUCUCUCCAUCUCUCAUUCUAAAUAUCUAUCUCAAUCAGUGGUAGUCUUAUGUCAUUAAUAUUGUGUUUAAUUUGUUCUAUGUCCUAGGGAUAUGCCACUGCAGCUGACCUUGAGAGUUCACUCUUUAUACCUGCAACUCCUCGUCUGAUACUUCUUGGAGAAACGGGAAGCCGCUUCCAGCGGUGGAUGCUCAGCCUUGAGGGCCAAAUCAUUUGCGAAGGGAUCCAGUCCACCUUUGUGAUAGGGCUGGCGUCUUUUUUUUCCUGUUUUUACAUCUUUAACCUACAGUACCAAGAGGAGGCAGCCUGCACGAUUGAAUUCAUCCAGAGACGCUUUGUGGGUUUAAACCCAGAAAAAGGGACAAAGGCUGCAAAGGGGAAAAACAGAAGAACUUUGUCAAUUCACACGUCGCCAGCCUCUUGCUCAAGCUCAUGGACUUUCAGUGGGAUUUCAUUUGAAAAUGGUGAGUAAGAUGUAUACAUUACACAUAUGUUCAAACAGCAACGACUCAGGAGCUGGGGAAAUUCAUUCUAAUGUUCAUUCUCAACUGCCUUUCAAAGUUAGAAUGC